AUGGUCCGCCACACUGGAACUGAGACACGGCCCAGACUCCUACGGGAGGCAGCAGUGGGGAAUAUUGGACAAUGGGGGCAACCCUGAUCCAGCAAUGCCGCGUGUGUGAAGAAGGCCUGCGGGUUGUAAAGCACUUUCAGUGGGGAAGAUGGGCUGCGUGUAACGAGCGCGGUCUGACGUUACCCACAGAAGAAGCGCCGGCUAACUCCGUGCCAGCAGCCGCGGUAAUACGGAGGGCGCGAGCGUUGUUCGGAUUUACUGGGCGUAAAGGGCGCGUAGGCGGCAUAACAAGCUAAGGGUGAAAUCCCGGGGCUCAACUCCGGAACUGUUCUUAGAACUGUUAAGCUUGAGAUAGUUAGAGGCGGGUGGAAUUCCUGGUGUAGAGGUGAAAUUCGUAGAUAUCAGGAGGAACACCGGAGGCGAAGGCGACCCGCUGGGACUAUUCUGACGCUGAGGCGCGAAAGCGUGGGGAGCGAACGGGAUUAGAUACCCCGGUAGUCCACGCCGUAAACGAUGAAUACCGGCUGUUUGAGAAAUCGACCUCUCAAGUGGCGCAGCUAACGCGAUGAGUAUUCCGCCUGGGGAUUACGGACGCAAGACUAAAACUCAAAGGAAUUGACGGGGGCCCGCACAAGCGGUGGAGCAUGUGGUUUAAUUCGACGCAACGCGAAGAACCUUACCUGGGUUUGACAUCCUCGGAUCGCCAUAGAGAUAUGGUUUUCCCUUCGGGGACCGAGUGACAGGUGCUGCAUGGCUGUCGUCAGCUCGUGUCGUGAGAUGUUGGGUUAAGUCCCGCAACGAGCGCAACCCUUGUCCUUAGUUGCCAGCGCGUAAUGGCGGGAACUCUAAGGAGACUGCCGGUGUUAAGCCGGAGGAAGGUGGGGAUGACGUCAAGUCCUCAUGGCCUUUAUGUCCAGGGCUACACACGUGCUACAAUGGCGACUACAAAGAGCCGCGAUACCGUGAGGUGGAGCGAAUCUCAAAAAAGUCGUCUCAGUUCGGAUCGCAGUCUGCAACUCGGCUGCGUGAAGUUGGAAUCGCUAGUAAUCGUAGAUCAGCGCGCUACGGUGAAUACGUUCCCGGGCCUUGUACACACCGCCCGUCACACCAUGGGAGUUGACAUUAGCAGAAUACAUUGAGCUAACUUUCGAGAGGCAGGUGUAGAAGCUAGUGUUGAUGACUGGGGUGAAGUCGAACAAGGUA
rnacentral:rRNA from 1 species